rnacentral:rRNA from 1 species
CCCAUAGAUGUUCUGGGCCGCACGCGUGCUACACUGAGUGGAUCAGCGGGUCAGGUUGCGCGAAAGCGUUUCCUAAUCUUUAAAUCCGCUCGUGAUGGGGAUUGACGGUUGCAAUUUUCUGUCAUGAACGAGGAAUACCUUGUAAGCGCGGGUCAUCAUCCCGCGCUGAAUACGUCCCUGCCCUUUGUACACACCGCCCGUCGCUCCUACCGAUUGAGUGGUCCGGUGAGGCUUUGGGAUCUGAGCGGAAAGAGCGUUUCGCUGUUUCUGCUCGGAAAACUCAGUCGAACCUUAUCAUUUAGAGGAAGGAGAAGUCGUAACA